rnacentral:lncRNA from 1 species
AAAGACUUAAUAUUUGGUUUCUUCAUCUUUUAGGCAUCCGAGAAACAUGAUGUGGAAGAGAUGUAUCUUCUCCAAGAAACGAAGAGAUAUUUUUGUUAAGAAACGAAGAGGUUUCUCCAAAAAAAUGAAGAGAUUAAAUAGAGAAGUGUACCGGUUCACAUUUUAUCUUUCAAAUACUUAUUAAGGAAUAAAUGUCACUUAUGUUGAUAUAGGAAAUGUAUCUUGUCCAAAAAACAA